AACGAACGCUGGCGGCGUGCCUAACACAUGCAAGUCGUGCGAGAAAGUUCCUUCGGGAGCGAGUAAAGCGGCGCACGGGUGAGUAACACGUAGGUAACCUGCCCCCCAGUCUGGAACAACUAGAGGAAACUCUAGCUAAUGCCGGAUGAGACCACGAUCCCUUCGGGGGUUGCGGCCAAAGAUGGCCUCUACUUGUAAGCUAUCGCUGAGGGAUGGGCCUGCGGGCCAUUAGCUUGUUGGUGAGGUAACGGCUCACCAAGGCUGUGAUGGCUAGCUGGUCUGAGAGGAUGACCAGCCACACUGGGACUGAGACACGGCCCAGACUCCUACGGGAGGCAGCAGUGGGGAAUAUUGCGCAAUGGGCGAAAGCCUGACGCAGCGACGCCGCGUGGGUGAUGAAGGCCUCGGUCGUAAGACCU
rnacentral:rRNA from 1 species